rnacentral:lncRNA from 1 species
AACGCAUAGUUACUAAAGAAAAGUUUAUUAUUAGCUUUUGUGACAUAUAUAGUCACUAAUACAAUACAUUUUAUUUUGAUUAUAUAUCAUUUUAACUAUAUAUCCUGGUAGUUAGUUUGAGUUUUCAGCGUCAAGAUCCUUCGUGUUACUAAACCUGUAACACAAUAGAAUGAUCAAUUAGUUACUUAUAUACAUAUAUAUAUAUAUAUAUAUAUAUAUAUACAUUGGGAGGAAAUGGAACGAACUAAAUGACAUUUUUUUAAUAUCUCAAGUACUAAACUAAGUCAACAAAAAAAAAAAAGAAGAAGAAGAGGAGAAAAAAUGGAAAUAACUGAG